rnacentral:misc_RNA from 1 species
CAAAGGGCCAGAACAAAUGCUCCAGUUGACACUUCAAGAGAAAAUUCGCAACCAAUCAUGUGGGGAAGCACAUCAGAAGAUAAAGAUUCAAUAGAGUUGCCUUUAUUUGACUUCCAUAGCAUAUUAAUAGUUGCGACCAAUAACUUUGACAUAGUGAACAAACUUGGGCAAGGAGGUUAUGGUCCAGUUUAUAAGGGAACCUUGCAAGAUGGGAACGAUGUGGC